GCGCCACUAGCUCAGCUGGCAGAGCAUCUGACUCUUAAUCAGGCGGUCCGGGGUUCGAAUCCCUGGUGGCGUA
rnacentral:tRNA from 1 species